AAGACUUUAAGUCUCCUGAAGGAACGUUGAAGACGACGACGUUGAUAGGUCGGGUGUGUAAGCGCAGCGAUGCGUUGAGCUAACCGAUACUAAUGAACCGUGAGGCUUAACCUU
rnacentral:rRNA from 1 species